rnacentral:rRNA from 1 species
UACAGAGGGGGCAAGCGUUGUUCGGAAUUACUGGGCGUAAAGGGCGCGUAGGCGGCCAUCUAAGUCAGACGUGAAAUCCCCCGGCUUAACCUGGGAACUGCGUCUGAUACUGGACGGCUAGAGUAUGGGAGAGGGAUGUAGAAUUCCAGGUGUAGCGGUGAAAUGCGUAGAUAUCUGGAGGAAUACCGGUGGCGAAGGCGGCAUCCUGGACCAUUUACUGACGCUGAGGCGCGAAAGCUAGGGGAGCAAACGGG